UACGUAGGAGGCAAGCGUUGUCCGGAAUCACUGGGCGUAAAGCGCACGUAGGCGGACUCUUAAGUCAGGGGUGAAAUCCUGGAGCUCAACUCCAGAACUGCCUUUGAUACUGGGAGUCUUGAGUUCGGGAGAGGUGAGUGGAACUGCGAGUGUAGAGGUGAAAUUCGUAGAUAUUCGCAAGAACACCAGUGGCGAAGGCGGCUCACUGGCCCGAUACUGACGCUGAGGUGCGAAAAGCGUGGGGAGCAAACAGGG
rnacentral:rRNA from 1 species